AUUGAACGCUGGCGGAAUGCUUUACACAUGCAAGUCGAACGGCAGCACGGACUUCGGUCUGGUGGCGAGUGGCGAACGGGUGAGUAAUGUAUCGGAACGUGCCCAGUCGUGGGGGAUAACGUAGUGAAAAUUACGCUAAUACCGCAUACGAUCUAUGGAUGAAAGCGGGGGAUCGCAAGACCUCGCGCGAUUGGAGCGGCCGAUAUCAGAUUAGGUAGGUGGUGGGGUAAAGGCCCACCAAGCCAACGAUCUGUAGCUGGUCUGAGAGGACGACCAGCCACACUGGAACUGAGACACGGUCCAGACUCCUACGGGAGGCAGCAGUGGGGAAUUCUGGACAAUGGGCGAAAGCCUGAUCCAGCCAUUCCGCGUGCAGGAUGAAGGCCCUCGGGUUGUAAACUGCUUUUGUACAGAACGAAAAGGUUUCUACUAAUACUAGGAGCUCAUGACGGUACUGUAAGAAUAAGCACCGGCUAACUACGUGCCAGCCGCCGCGGUAA
rnacentral:rRNA from 1 species